rnacentral:rRNA from 1 species
AGACCCGAAACCCGGUGAUCUAGCCAUGGGCAGGUUGAAGGUUGGGUAACACUAACUGGAGGACCGAACCGACUAAUGUUGAAAAAUUAGCGGAUGACCUGUGGCUGGGGGUGAAAGGCCAAUCAAACCGGGAGAUAGCUGGUUCUCCCCGAAAGCUAUUUAGGUAGCGCCUCGUGAAUUCAUCUCCGGGGGUAGAGCACUGUUUCGGCUAGGGGGCCAUCCCGGCUUACCAACCCGAUGCAAACUGCGAAUACCGGAGAAUGUUAUCACGGGAGACACACGGCGGGUGCUAACGUCCGUCGUGAAGAGGGAAACAACCCAGACCGCCAGCUAAGGUCCCAAAGUCAUGGUUAAGUGGGAAACGAUGUGGGAAGGCCCAGACAGCC